rnacentral:tRNA from 1 species
AAAGUCUUCUCUUUCUCAGAA